rnacentral:rRNA from 1 species
UACGGAGGGAGCUAGCGUUGUUCGGAAUUACUGGGCGUAAAGCGCGCGUAGGCGGCUUUGUAAGUUAGAGGUGAAAGCCCGGGGCUCAACCCCCGGAACUGCCUUUAAGACUGCAUCGCUUGAAUCCAGGAGAGGUGAGUGGAAUUCCGAGUGUAGAGGUGAAAUUCGUAGAUAUUCGGAAGAACACCAGUGGCGAAGGCGGCUCACUGGACUGGUAUUGACGCUGAUGGUGCGAAAAGCGUGGGGAGCAAACAGG